rnacentral:lncRNA from 1 species
AUGGACGAAGAGGAUCUUCUUCUUCCUCAGGUCGUCCUGGGUGAACCGAUAGAGCUGGUGGCUCCUGUCGUCGACGGACACGAUGCUGCCAAACAAGAUGUCCCUCCUGGCCAGCACCAGCUGCGCGUCGGAGAAGCCCGAAUCCUUGUCGGUGAAGGCGAUGUCGUCCGUCGUCAGCAGGUGCUGCCCGUUGCGCACCACGUUGAACACCUUGCUCACCGCCCGGACGGGGGGAUGGUCGUUGACGGGCUGGAUGGAGACCCUGAAAACCCCUCUCACCUCCUCCGCCUCGGGCUCGGUGCUGCCCUCGCCCUGCCUGGUGGCUACGAAGGGGAUGUCGUCCUCCAGCGUCUCGGAGUCGUCGUGCUGGUACAGCAGCCGGCGGUGCAGGAUGUCAUCGUUGCUGAACUCCGUGAUCUCCUCGCUGGACGCCCUGCCGAGGGACGCUGCCCACGCCAGCCUCCCGUGGGCCGGCCCCUCGAUCACUUCGUAGAGGUAGUCCAUGCUGUUCAGGCUCUGCACGAACAGGUGCUCCUUGGAGAUGACAGCCUGGCCCCCCUCCGGCACCGUCAGCAGGACGUUGGUCAGGUUGGGCGCGUCGGGGUCCCCCCCGAUGCUGAUGGGGUAGGUGUAGACGGGAGAGUGCUGCUCGCCGGCGCGCACGUGGAACUGGAAGGAGUCCUCGGCUUGCUGCGAGUUCCUGACGGUCGCGCUGUAGCUCAGGCGGUUUCUUUGCAGGUCCUCCUGGGUGAACGCGAAGCCCUCGGUCAGCCUGCUGCCCAGCAGCUCCAGGUUGCCCUUCCUGGGGGCCUGGAUGAUCACAUAGCGGAAAGGGACCGGGGCGGAGUUUGGGUCUUCCAGCAUCGCCUCCAGCUCCUUGCUGGUGAUGUUUUUGUGCCGCUUGUUCUUCAUCUGGAGGGGGACCAUGGUCUUCAUCUUAAUGGUGGCUCUUUUAAUGCUUAUGAGAAAAGUGUUGUUUGGCAAGACCUUCUGGCCCACCUGGACGUCGAAUCGGAGCUUCUCCACGACAUCCUCCAGCCGGUGCUCUGGAUCCGUGCAGAAAUACUGGAUGCGCCCUUGCUCCAGGUCUUGCUGCUGGAAGGACUCGACUCGUUUCCACUCCCCUCCCGUGCUCCCCUGCUUCUGCACCUCGCCGUACCUGAGGGGCUGCGUGAGGCUGUACAGGAUGGGCACCCGUUGUUUCCCGGCGUUUGUCUCAGGCGGACAGGUUGGCCGUGGAAAUGCGCGCAGCCCCCCCUUGGGAGACGGAGAGCCCGGUGUUGUUGCGCAGGCGGAUCUCGGGCUCUACGGCCAGGAUCCUCAGCGUGGCAACGGGGCUGGGGACGGAGCCGUCGCUCACCUGGAAGGUGA